CUGCAGCCAAUUAAGCCCACUGAGUUCCUUUCCUCAUGGGGGCCCAGUGUGCAAUGGCUGUAAACAGCAGCUUCCCUGGUAGUGAUGCAGCCUGUUUGUUGUAUGGGUUGCUCUAAGGGACCUUGGAGACAGUC
ensembl:snoRNA SNORA70 Small nucleolar RNA SNORA70